rnacentral:rRNA from 1 species
GCAAGUCGAGGGGCAGCAUGGGACUUCGGUCCUGAUGGCGACCGGCGCACGGGUGAGUAACGCGUACACAACCUACCUUUAAGCGGGGGAUAGCCUAUGGAAACGUAGAUUAAUACCGCAUAAUAUUGUCAGAUAGCAUUUGAAGACAAUUAAAGCUUCGGCGCUUAAAGAUGGGUGUGCGUCCCAUUAGCUAGUUGGUAAGGUAACGGCUUACCAAGGCGACGAUGGGUAGGGGGCGUGAGAGCGUGACC